GCUGUAGCUCAGUGAUGGUGCAUCUACUUUGCGUGCAAAAGGCCCUGGGUUCAAUCCCUGGCAUCUCCA